AAUUUUCGGUACUGUGUUCCCCUUUAGAACCAGCUACCAGGUGAUAAGAGCGUUAGCUCUACGUCACCCGAAGAAACCACCUUGCCGGGUGGUUUUUUCGU
rnacentral:antisense_RNA from 1 species